rnacentral:lncRNA from 1 species
UCAAACCUAAGACCCCUGUCAUAAUCUAUCAUCUCUUAUAACCAUCCAACACCACCAGCCACUGCUGAAAAUCGUUCCCACGGCGGCGGCGAGUCUCCAAACUCAACCAAAUUUUGACCAGAUAAUCCUUGUUGCCUCAUCGUUCCAAGCCCACCACUGAUUUUCUCCAAAAGUCACUCGAUUUUCAUGAAUUUCAAAUCUCGUAAGGCAGGAACUCGAGGUGUUCUACAUUCCCCUGAUCUUCUUGCCCCUAUUUGUUUCUAUACGGUGAUAACAUGCAUGAUUAGAUGGUUGUCUAGUCAAUUCCACGACUCACCAUGGUAGACAGCUUUUGGGUCGAACAAUCCAUGGUCCAAGUUUCUAUUUCCUCUCAUUUCGGAGUGGAUAGAGAGGAAUGUGAUAUAAAGUAUUAACUGUCGAAGAAAUUUCGGUUAAUGCCUAUGUUACAAUUCUCGCCAUUUGCAAAUCUUGCUUAGCCAUCGAUUUCUAUGAGGUGUCAAUCCUUCGGUAGAGACUGGUACUUCUUCUUUUUUUCCAUUCUUUUAAUUUUAGUCUUUUCUUCUUUUAAUGCUCGCCAUCUUAGUGUGGUUUUUUUUAAGCAUCAAUUUUUGUGUUGUAAAUCAGUCAAUAUUUCGAAGAAUCGUUAUUCUUUUUUGUUCUGCUUAUUUUUUUUUGAUUUUAUGUGCGCUUGAAGUUUCUUGGUUCAUAACUUUAGAGUUAUUGUAGUUUUAGCAUUUUGUUCUGUAUUAUUGCACUGCAUCUUUUUUUAAAUACGUUUGGACUUUAAAGUAGAAGUCCAAAGUAGGGAGGGAGGGAAAUUCUGUUAGUCCCCAUGGUUUAAGCCUGGAUGCAAUUUACUUGGGCCCAUACUUGUUUUUCAGGGGAGGGUAAAUAGUGAAGGAUUAAAGGGUAAUUCAGGUAAUUGGCUUAGAGAAUCUAGGGUGUAACUGAAAGGGAAGCUUCUUGGAAUCUAACUUUGGGACUAUUUCAAAUUUGUGAAAAUUGCCUAACGUUUUAAAGUUAAAAUAAGAUUUUAAAAGGGUUGUAAGUGCAAUUUUGUUUCUCGUUGAGUUGCCCUAGUCCCUUGCCUAUAAAGGCAUCCUAACUUGGUAUUCAAGGCAAGACUUAAGGGAUAAAUCCAGAAAAUACAAAAUUGUAGAACUUUUUAUUGUUUCAUUGAAUUUCAGUGAUUUUUGAUUUCUUUUCAACUUCUGAAGCUAUUUUAACUCAUCCGAGUGGGAAAUGGACCGAACUUGGUCGUCAAAGUUGGGUCUAAAGUUUUUGCUGGGCUGUUCUUUGGUUGAAUUUGUUAUAUUGAGCUGUUAUACUUCAUUUCUGGGUUUGGAAUUGUUUUGCUGGCUGUUUUGGUGUUGAUUUCUGUUGUUGCUCCUGUUGAUACUUUAUUUCUUAUCUUCGUUCACUUCUAGGUAUACAUCUCUGCACUUCAUUCGAAUGUAAUGCUUGAUUUGGGAAUCAAAAAUGGAAUCAGGAGCUUUGAGAUUAUUAAUAUAUCUUACUUGUUUACUUUAUUUUGUUUAAAAAUUCCAUUUACUACCUUUCAAACUAUGAAAAAUGUGAUCAACGAUUUAGCCUCUGAAUGUAAUACGACUUGGUAGCUUAGUCUGAUGUCCAUCUGAGUAUAGUUCUUUAUAUAUAGUCAUUUUUACUAUUCGUUUGUUUUAAGGUCAGUAGUAGGACUGGUUUAAAUGCAGUCGACUCAAGAUAUUAUUUUAGACUGUUAGAUCUGAUUGAAGUUGGUUUUUAUGUUUAGCUUAUGUCUUCUUCCAGUGUCUGAGUUUUGUAUCACAUUUUCUGGUGCAUUAUUUGUUAGAAUAAAGCAAGGCGUUUGUGUUCUCGAAGAAUUGUGAUUCAAACCAUGAAUUUACGGUUCGAUGAAUACAAAUUUGGUAAACUAUGUAGGAACCUUAUUAUCACUGGCAAGACCACCAUCAGGAUUCAAAUUUCAUGUAAUAUGUUGAUAAUAUAGUUUGUUCAAAGUGGG